AAUUCAUUUAUGGAGAGUUUGAUCCUGGCUCAGGAUGAACGCUGGCGGCGUGCCUAAUAC
rnacentral:rRNA from 1 species